rnacentral:rRNA from 2 species
UGCAGUCGAGCGGUAAGGCCCUUCGGGGUACACGAGCGGCGAACGGGUGAGUAACACGUGAGCAACCUGCCCCUGACUCUGGGAUAAGCGGUGGAAACGCCGUCUAAUACCGGAUACGACCCGCCACCUCAUGGUGGAGGGUGGAAAGUUUUUCGGUCAGGGAUGGGCUCGCGGCCUAUCAGCUUGUUGGUGGGGUAACGGCCUACCAAGGCGAUUACGGGUAGCCGGCCUGAGAGGGCGACCGGCCACACUGGGACUGAGACACGGCCCAGACUCCUGCGGGAGGCAGCAGUGGGGAAUAUUGCGCAAUGGGCGAAAGCCUGACGCAGCGACGCCGCGUGGGGGAUGACGGCCUUCGGGUUGUAAACCUCUUUUACCACCAACGCAGGCUUCCAGUUCUCUGGAGGUUGACGGUAGGUGGGGAAUAAGGACCGGCUAACUACGUGCCAGCAGCCGCGGUAAUACGUAGGGUCCGAGCGUUGUCCGGAAUUAUUGGGCGUAAAGAGCUCGUAGGCGGCGUGUCGCGUCUGCUGUGAAAGACCGGGGCUUAACUCCGGUUCUGCAGUGGAUACGGGCAUGCUAGAGGUAGGUAGGGGAGACUGGAAUUCCUGGUGUAGCGGUGAAAUGCGCAGAUAUCAGGAGGAACACCGGUGGCGAAGGCGGGUCUCUGGGCCUUACCUGACGCUGAGGAGCGAAAGCAUGGGGAGCGAACAGGAUUAGAUACCCUGGUAGUCCAUGCCGUAAACGUUGGGCGCUAGGUGUGGGGACUUUCCACGGUUUCCGCGCCGUAGCUAACGCAU